UAAAACAUUUUUUUCUCAACUUUUAGACAUGAUCCAUUUCUAUAGUUGAGAUGUAGUUCUCCUACUCCCAUAAUAUUAAUGAUAAUUCUUUUCCACCUAAGAGAGCUAGUGUCAUAUUUAUUUACCUUUAUUCAAGUUGGAGCCCUUAUUCGUAGUGAUGCAAAGUUCUCAUACUUGUGGGUGACAGUCGACUGUUCUCCUUAAAAUGACAAAGGGUGCGGAAGACAAGGCCAUGGGUCUGGUUGGACUCAAGGCCAACGUGAAACUAGGCAAGGGAGUGGAGUCUCCGCAAAUCAACAUUUACUUCAUGUUUCAAAACUUUAUUUACUCUCUCCCUCUCAAAAGAGAACUUCACCGGAACAAUGCCCCGCUGCUCCAUAAAUUGCUUCAGACGGAGGGGCUCCCCCAAUCAAAAAAAUUUAGUUAUCAAAAUACUUGUCUAAUCCUCAUCUCCUCCAAUCCAACCUUGAAUUCUCCUAAUUCUCAACCAAACACUUAAACCUAGCCAAAACGUUCAUGAACCCUAAUUCCUAAAUCAGAAAUUUAACGCAAGUAUGGAGGAAUAAAAGCCUCUCCUAUUAGGGCUUUGAUUCCUCAAGCCACAAGGUAUAUAAUGGUAACAAGAACAAGGCAAAAUGGAAGAAGAAUCAAAAGAUCCUACCUACAAGGAGUAGCUUUUCCUCGGUGAGUGUUGAAUUUGAAGCAAAAACGAAAGUGAAGAUGAAGAUGAUGCACGUUCGUAACAACGUGGCUUUUGGCAAGGAAGUUAUAUGGUGCAUUGGGCAUGAAGAAUGAUGAAGAUCAUGGUGAAUAACAUUGUUUGAAGAGAUGUAGACCUUUAGGAUAAGUUUAGGAAGUCAAGGUAAAUUGUCAACUAUGUCAAAAACCUUAUAACCUUCUAUUUCUUGUGUAGUCUAUGAAUGUACUUUGUAAUGACUUGUAAUAUGUCAUUCUUAAGGCGAAGGAAGACAAUCUCAUAUUCACAAAAAAAACAUCCCUGUAAUAGAGAUUCUUACCCUCAUAAACUUGCUAUAAUCCUAUAAAAAAACAUCUUUAAAACAUA